rnacentral:rRNA from 1 species
GACGAACGCUGGCGGCGUGCCUAAUACAUGCAAGUUGAGCGAUGAAGAUUGGUGCUUGCACCAAUUUGAAGAGCAGCGAACGGGUGAGUAACGCGUGGGGAAUCUGCCUUUGAGCGGGGGACAACAUUUGGAAACGAAUGCUAAUACCGCAUAACAACUUUAAACAUAAGUUUUAAGUUUGAAAGAUGCAAUUGCAUCACUCAAAGAUGAUCCCGCGUUGUAUUAGCUAGUUGGUGAGGUAAAGGCUCACCAAGGCGAUGAUACAUAGCCGACCUGAGAGGGUGAUCGGCCACAUUGGGACUGAGACACGGCCCAAACGCCUACGGGAGGCAGCAGUAGGGAAUCGUCGGCAAUGGACGAAAGUCUGACCGAGCAACGCCGCGUGAGUGAAGAAGGUUUUCGGAUCGUAAAACUCUGUUGGUAGAGAAGAACGUUGGUGAGAGUGGAAAGCUCAUCAAGUGACGGUAACUACCCAGAAAGGGACGGCUAACUACGUG